CCCAAGAAAAACAACAGGAUCAGUCAUUACAGCAAGUAACGGUUUCUGAAGGCACAGACGUGGAGUUCACGGACCAACAACAUAUUGCUAAUGUCCACAAACAUCUGUGCAGACAACCUUGUCUCAUAGAAAUUACUGUGGCAGGUGGCACGGAGUAAUAAAGGAGAGGUGCACCGAUUAGUGAGGUUUAGCAGAUAUAGGGCUACCUGCAGGAGGAACGCAGGUUUGCGACUGUUGGUUCAGUCUAGUGUAGAGAGGCAGGCACACGCCUCAAUCCAUGCUGGCGUGCAGGAAAGAUGAGCGUGCAGGAACAACUGUCCGCCCUCGCAAGUGAGCUGGUAGCAACUUCAGUGAUGCAUACGAAACCUGGUACAAGUGCCUUGUUCCAUGACGUGAGUGAAGGACGUGAUGAAGAGAGAGGAGAGACGUGGACUCGCAAAUUUAUCUGCAAUUUGCGAGUGACAAUCAUUUGUGAAACAUGAAGCCGCCCUCAUUUGCAAUCUGCAUGUAAGCUCCACUCACAAAUCACUUUUGUAAACAAACCCCUUUGUUGUAUGUAAUGCAGGCAUGUCCUCAUUUCCUGUCUCAUGUUUUAAGACAUAUACAAAUAAUGUGC